GCCUUCAUGGUGUAACGGUAGCACACUGGAUCUGUAUUCCAGAGGUCCGUGGUUCGAUUCCCGGCGAAGGCG
rnacentral:tRNA from 1 species